rnacentral:rRNA from 1 species
UACGGAGGGUCCGGGCGUUAUCCGGAUUUAUUGGGUUUAAAGGGAGCGCAGGCCGGCCUUUAAGCGUGACGUGAAAUGUGGACGCUCAACAUCUGAACUGCGUCGCGAACUGGGGGCCUUGAGUGCAUUCGACGCCGGCGGAAUUCGUGGUGUAGCGGUGAAAUGCUUAGAUAUCACGAAGAACUCCGAUUGCGCAGGCAGCUCGCGAGACUGUAACUGACGCUAAAGCUCGAAGGUGCGGGUAUCGAAC